AUUGCUUGGAUAUUAUCUGUGAUUUUCUUUUCAUGUCUUAUACAUGUGCUUGAACAUAUGAAUUUAUGUUGUCAUUUUUAUGUAAAGAAUUUAAAUUUCAACCAAGCUAUACUUUGCUUAAUGGUUAACUUGAAUAGUACCCCAUUUUCAUUAUUUUGAUCCAUGUAAAAAAGUAAAAAUGUAAAUAUGAAUUUAUAGUUAAAUGUUGUCAAGUGUUUCAAUAAAUUAAGAAGACAAUGGAACCAGUCAUAAUUUAUAAAAUUAUGUAGUUGAGCCAUUUUGUCUAUAUUUUGUGUUUUAAAAACAUUUUUAGAUUUCAUCCAUUGUAAUUGCUAUUUGGGGAGGGGGUUAAAUAUGAUUUUAUGUUAUCAAAUAUAUUUUAUUGUUUUUAUUUUCUCAUGUUUUUUAAAAAAUACAGGUAUACAAAUAAAUAUAUAUUUUUA
rnacentral:misc_RNA from 1 species